rnacentral:rRNA from 1 species
UUUGCGCCGAUUGCCUUGAGUUGAUCAUGGCUCAGACGAACGCUGGCGGCGUGCCUAACACAUGCAAGUCGCGCGAGAAAAGGGGGGCAACCCCCUGAGUAAAGCGGCGCACGGGUGAGUAACACGUAGGUAACCUACCCUCGAGUCCAGGAUAACCCGCCGAAAGGUGGGCUAAUACCGGAUAUGACCACGGGAGUCUCGGCUCCUGCGGUGAAAGAUGGCCUCUGCUUGCAAGCUAUCGCUCGAAGAUGGGCCUGCGCGCCAUUAGCUAGUUGGUGAGGUAACGGCCCACCAAGGCAUUGAUGGCUAGCUGGUCUGAGAGGAUGGCCAGCCACACUGGGACUGAAACACGGCCCAGACUCCUACGGGAGGCAGCAGUGGGGGAUAUUGCGCAAUGGGCGAAAGCCUGACGCAGCGACGCCGCGUGGGUGAUGAAGGCCUUCGGGUCGUAAAGCCCUGUCGAGGGGAAAGAAACGGUUCCGACCCAACACGUCGGGAUCCUGACGGUACCCCUAAAGGAAGCACCGGCUAACUCCGUGCCAGCAGCCGCGGUAAUACGGAGGGUGCGAGCGUUGUUCGGAAUCACUGGGCGUAAAGGGCGUGUAGGCGGCCCGCUAAGUCUGAUGUGAAAGCCCGGGGCUCACCCCCGGAAGUGCAUUGGAAACUGGCGGACUCGAGUCCCGGAGAGGAGAGUGGAAUUCCUGGUGUAGCGGUGAAAUGCGUAGAUAUCAGGAGGAACACCGGUGGCGAAGGCGGCUCU